UGGCUCAGUGGUAGAGCACUUGCCUUGCAUGCAUGAGGACCUGGGUUCGAUUCCUCAG
rnacentral:tRNA from 1 species